AAUCUUCCGCAAUGGGCGCAAGCCUGAUGCAGCGACGCCGCGUGAACGAUGAAGGUCUUCGGAUCGUAAAGUUCUGUCCUAGGGGACGAUAGUGACGGUACCCUAGGAGGAAGCCCCGGCUAACUACGUGCCAGCAGCCGCGGUAAUACGUAGGGGGCGAGCGUUGUCCGGAAUUAUUGGGCGUAAAGGGUUCGUAGGCGGUCUUUUAAGUCAGAUGUGAAAGGUCACGGCUCAACCGUGGUAAGCAUUUGAAACUGAAGGACUUGAGUUAAGGAGAGGAAAGUGGAAUUCCUAGUGUAGCGGUGAAAUGCGUAGAUAUUAGGAGGAAUACCAGUGGUGAAGGCGACUUUCUGGACUUAUACUGACGCUGAGGAACGAAAGCGUGGGGAGCAAAC
rnacentral:rRNA from 1 species